CAACCCUCGAGCCCCCCCCUUCCGGGGGGAGGGGCCCGGUGUUGGGGGACGGCCCGCCCUCGCGGCAGGCCGCCCCCGAAAUGGAUCGGCGGCAACGGCGUCCGCCUCCCCUGCGUAGUAGCACAGCAUCUCGCAACGGGAGCGCGCCGCGGCCACUGCCGUAAAACGCACAACCCUUCAAGAG
rnacentral:misc_RNA from 1 species